GCUUCCUUUGGUAGCACACUUAAAAUCGGGAUGGCAUGGACAAGGUUAGCAUGGAGCCUGCUAAAGAAUGGCAUGCAAAACUGUGAUACAUUUUAUAUUUUU